rnacentral:rRNA from 1 species
AGCUCCAAUAGCGUAUAUUAAAGUUGUUGCGGUUAAAAAGCUCGUAGUUGGAUUUCUGCCAAGGACGACCGUUCCCCUCUCUGGGUGUAUCUGGUUUGACCGAGGCAUCCUUUUGGAAUACGUCACUGCACUUAACUGGGUGGUACGGACUCCAAAACUUUUACUUUGAGGAAAUUAGAGUGUUUCAAGCAGGCUUCUGCCUUGAAUACAUUAGCAUGGAAUAAUAAGAUAGGACUUCGGUUCUAUUUUGUUGGUUUCUAGAACUGAAGUAAUGAUUAAUAGGGAUAGUCGGGGGCAUUCGUACUUAACUGUCAGAGGUGAAAUUCUUGGAUUUGUUAAAGACGAACUACUGCGAAAGCAUUUGCCAAGGAUGUUUUCAUUG